rnacentral:rRNA from 1 species
GGGUUGUGAGGUUAAGCGACUAAGCGUACACGGUGGAUGCCCUGGCAGUCAGAGGCGAUGAAGGACGUGCUAAUCUGCGAAAAGCGUCGGUAAGGUGAUAUGAACCGUUACAGCCGGCGAUGUCCGAAUGGGGAAACCCAGUGCAAUUCGUUGCACUAUCGUUAACUGAAUACAUAGGUUAACGAGGCGAACCGGGGGAACUGAAACAUCUAAGUACCCCGAGGAAAAGAAAUCAACCGAGAUUCCCCCAGUAGCGGCGAGCGAACGGGGAGCAGCCCAGAGUCUGAAUCAGCUUGUGUGUUAGUGGAACGGUCUGGAAAGUCCGACGGUACAGGGUGAUAGUCCCGUACACCAAAAUGCACAGGUUGUGAACUCGAAGAGUAGGGCGGGACACGUGGUAUCCUGUCUGAAUAUGGGGGGACCAUCCUCCAAGGCUAAAUACUCCUGACUGACCGAUA